UACGGGGGGGGCAAGCGUUGUUCGGAAUUACUGGGCGUAAAGGGCGCGUAGGCGGCCUUCUAAGUCGGACGUGAAAUCCCUCGGCUUAACCGAGGAACUGCGUCCGAUACUGGAUGGCUAGAGUUUGGGAGAGGGAUGCGGAAUUCCAGGUGUAGCGGUGAAAUGCGUAGAUAUCUGGAGGAACACCGGUGGCGAAGGCGGCAUCCUGGACCAACACUGGACGCUGAGGAGCGAAAGCCAGGGGAGCAAACGGG
rnacentral:rRNA from 1 species